rnacentral:rRNA from 1 species
AUUUAACGCUGGCGGCAGGCCUAACACAUGCAAGUCGAACGGUAACAGGAAGAAGCUUGCUUCUUUGCUGACGAGUGGCGGACGGGUGAGUAAUGUCUGGGAAACUGCCUGAUGGAGGGGGAUAACUACUGGAAACGGUAGCUAAUACCGCAUAACGUCGCAAGACCAAAGAGGGGGACCUUCGGGCCUCUUGCCAUCGGAUGUGCCCAGAUGGGAUUAGCUAGUAGGUGGGGUAACGGCUCACCUAGGCGACGAUCCCUAGCUGGUCUGAGAGGAUGACCAGCCACACUGGAACUGAGACACGGUCCAGACUCCUACGGGAGGCAGCAGUGGGGAAUAUUGCACAAUGGGCGCAAGCCUGAUGCAGCCAUGCCGCGUGUAUGAAGAAGGCCUUCGGGUUGUAAAGUACUUUCAGCGGGGAGGAAGGGAGUAAAGUUAAUACCUUUGCUCAUUGACGUUACCCGCAGAAGAAGCACCGGCUAACUCCGUG